rnacentral:rRNA from 1 species
GACGAACGCUGGCGGCGUGCUUAACACAUGCAAGUCGAACGGAAAGGCCCUGCUUUUGUGGGGUGCUCGAGUGGCGAACGGGUGAGUAACACGUGAGUAACCUGCCCUUGACUUUGGGAUAACUUCAGGAAACUGGGGCGAAUACCGGAUAGGAGCUCCUGCUGCAUGGUGGGGGUUGGAAAGUGUCGGCGGUUGGGGAUGGACUCGCGGCUUAUCAGCUUGUUGGUGGGGUAGUGACAUACCAAGGCUGUGACGGGUAGCCGGCCUGAGAGGGUGAACGGGCACAUUGGGACUAAGGUACGGCCCAGACUCGUACGGGAGGCAGCAGUGGGGAACAUUGCACAAUGGCGGGAAGCCUGAGGCAGCAACGCCGGGAGCGGGAUGACGGCCUUCGGGUUGUAAACCGCUUUCGACGGUGACGAAGAGUGAGUGACGGUAAUGGGUAAAGAAGCACCGGCUAACUACGUG